UACGUAUGUCACAAGCGUUAUCCGGAUUUAUUGGGCGUAAAGCGCGUCUAGGUGGUUAUGUAAGUCUGAUGUGAAAAUGCAGAGCUCAACUCUGUAUUGCGUUGGAAACUGUGUAACUAGAGUACUGGAGAGGUAAGCGGAACUACAAGUGUAGAGGUGAAAUUCGUAGAUAUUUGUAGGAAUGCCGAUGGGGAAGCCAGCUUACUGGACAGAUACUGACGCUAAAGCGCGAAAGCGUGGGUAGCAAACAGG
rnacentral:rRNA from 1 species